UCUGCUACGUCCUCGCGGCGUCCGGGCGAACGCGGCCACCGAGGCGGCGCGCAGAGGGCCAGCGCGGGGCCGAGAGGAAAGGGGAAGAAAGGCGCGGCGGAGUUUCUUACCCGGGCAGAGUCCGCCAACGUCGCCAAGCAGAAGCCCACUGUCUACAGCAGGGGCUGAUCUUCUCAACAUGAAGGAAAAGAGGAGAAAAGUACAUCUGCCUUUCAAGGAACUGAGAAUGCUGUUUAGCUGCAGAAAAAGAGGAGGCAGAGAUCAGAUCGGAUCAGAUCCGGUGAAACGUUUGUCGGGAUGAAGAGGAUGCCAAUAUUCCAGAGCGGAAGAGGACAACGGACAGUAGGGUCUGGAAGAGGAAAAUGAUUAAAUGUAAGAAGCCACCUCCCUCCCCCUUAUGAGAAGCAAAAUGCCUCACACUGAAGACUACAGAUGUUCCCCUCUCGGUUACCAGCAGCCUUCCUAUCGCAAUCCUGAGUGAUGGUGGUCUUGGGAAGCUUAGGAUCCUACUGGUGACAGAGCAGAAGCCUGAAAAUGCAUAUCACAGGACUCAGAAGAUAGAAAACAAGUAUAAAUUACCUUGGAUCUAAUCAUCUUUUCAAAAUGAUUUUUUCAGCCAAUCUCAUGAGAUUUUUGGAGAAGGAAGAACGAUUUGGAUUUUUUUUUACCCCUGAAUAUAUGAACAUGCCACCCUUGUGUCCAUCUUAAAUCUACAAAGUUAUUAACCCUUACAUGCCAUUUGGAUAGUGGCCUUCUAGUCACCCUCACAGAACUGGAUUCUCACAACAACUUCUUCUGGUUACAGCUGUAUGCGGCCGGACCCUCUUUGCAAGCUGCACAGAAAGCCUCACCCAAGAGUUUACCACAAUCUUUCUGUAAAGCAUUGCACCAAAUUCCAGGACUCCUAGAGACCGACCUCACACACUCAGGGGUCUCCUUCUGUUUAACUUUAGCUUAUCAUCCUUGUAUUAACUUGAAUAAGUGUUAAAACUGCACUCCAGGUUGCUCUUAAAAAAAAAAAAAAAAAAAAAAAAAGAAAAAAAAAAGCACGGGAUAUGGCAAAUGAAUGCAGGAAAUGUCUAUUCUGCUAUUAAUACUAAUGAAUCCUUAAUGCAUUUGAAACCCACUUGAGGUAAGUCAGUUGAGUCCUUCUCCUGACGGCUAUUCCUCAUCAAACUACCAGUGUUAAAGAUGCUGAUGCUUUCCCUUUUGCUUGUAAUCUUUAAACAAGGUUUAAAUCACACCAGAGGCUACCACAAAAUAACGUGUUUUAUCCUAAGUGAAGGCAAAGCCCUGCAGACAGAGGUUUAAAACACUGCAUACGUCCGCUCAAUUUAUCAUUUUAAGAUAGGAAGCUGCUGCCACAAACAAAACACCUCCUUGAAAGUGGGACAGCAGCAGAUUGCGGUGCAGAAAGCUUGGGGAUCUUUUGUUUUCCUGGAGAGCGACAACAGGGCUUUGCAAAGAAAGACAGCAGCCUCCCCUUGCUGAAAUCUAAAUCAGCUCCUAUAUGAAAGCCUGCCAACUGCUAGCUGGAUCGUAACAAAAUAUUGCAGAUAAUUCACUUUUCAUGAUAAAGCAAAAACAAGCAGGCAUGCAGCACCCAGCAGGGGCUCAACUGAUAAAACGGUGUCAAACUCAAACCAUUUGUCAAUUGGGAGGGGAGAGAGCAAGCUGAAAGAUGGACUCAGGAAGUAGAUUUAUCUAGUGCGACACAUUAACUAGUAUAAAUACUAAGGAAAAAGUAAACACAUUUACCCAGCAGUAUCUCCAGCCAGCAAAGAAAAGCCUUCUGAGUCCCAGACCCACGCUAGCCAUCCAACCACUCAGCUGUCAGCUGCGACAGCAGUAGCAUUUUUCUUCCUGGGCAGUAUUGCCAUGCCAUUUCAUUCACGGCUCUAAAAGGUUCUAU